UUAUGGAUAAGUCAGUUAUGAGAAGCGAAAGCAUCAGAGAAAAGGCUGUAGGGAACAGUCUUAAUGUGUCAGUUCAAGGAACCAACAAAGACCAAGAGGUUUAUACAGCUAACAAACCUUACUCCAUAACCAAAGGACAUAACUGCAAAAGACUCCAGCUUCCAUUAUCACGAUGUUAUAACUAGAUUACAAAGUUAAGCAGUAAGACAGCAUAAAGACUUCUGCAAUAGUAAAGAUGUGGCGACAAGGUGCCUAAAAGACCCAAAUAUGAAGAAAAUGUACUCAGAAUUUCAUGAGAU